GAGUAAACUUCAAAUAUUAUUUAUUUGAUUUCAUACUCUCUCAGUUUAGUACUCUAAUGAUUUAAAGUGUAUCAAGUUAGUAUCUUGUGGUUUCAUUUUUAUCUUUUCGUCAGCUUCUCCGUUAAUAUUUUGUUAAAUUAUAUACAAAAAAAAUCUUCAGGUACGCCAUUUAGGUUUAUUGAAUAUUCAUUUUAAUUUUCUUUAGUUUUAACUUUGUCACUAAUUUAAUAAAAAAAUUAGUGAAAUUAAUAAUAAAAAGAUAAAAAUAAAAUCAUAUGGCACUAAAUUAAUAUACUUUAAGCCACUGGGUGCUAAAGUAAGAAAGUGUGAAACCACAGAGAUGAUAUUAAAGUUUUUUCAAAAAAGAAAGAGGAAGCAGAUGAGAGGAAGAGUGAAGAACCAAAAAGAAAAAGAAGAAGAUAAGGGGGAAGAGUAGAGAAGAAGAAAGAAGUAGAAGAAGAUGAUAUGAAUAAGAAGAAGAAGAAGAAGAAGAAGAAUAAUGCGGAAGGGAAGAAGAAGAC
rnacentral:lncRNA from 1 species